rnacentral:tRNA from 1 species
GGUCUUGUGUCUCAGUGGUAGAGGGCUCCUCUAGCAAGUGUGAGGCACUGGGUUCAAUCCUCAGCACCA